CAGUAGCCACGGUAAUACGAAGGGGGCUAGCGUUGCUCGGAAUGACUGGGCGUAAAGGGCGCGUAGGCGGUUUGACAAGUCUUGUGUGAAAUCUCUGGGCUCAACCCAGAGUCUGCACGGGAAACUGUCGGGCUAGAGGAUGGGAGAGGUGAGUGGAAUUUCCGGUGUAGCGGUGAAAUGCGUAGAUAUCGGAAGGAACACCUGUGGCGAAAGCGGCUCACUGGACCAUAUCUGACGCUGAGGCGCGAAAGCUAGGGGAGCAAACAGGAUUAGAUACCCCCGUAGUCCCUGUCUCUUAUAC
rnacentral:rRNA from 1 species